UACGGGGGGGGCAAGCGUUGUUCGGAAUUACUGGGCGUAAAGCGCGCGUAGGCGGCUCGUUGCGUCGGCUGUGAAAACCCGCAGCUCAACUGUGGGCUUGCAGCCGAUACGGGCGGGCUGGAGUUCGGUAGGGGAGACUGGAAUUCCUGGUGUAGCGGUGAAAUGCGUAGAUAUCCGGAGGAACACCGGUGGCGAAGGCGGCUUCCUGGACCGACACUGACGCUGAGGCGCGAAAGCUAGGGGAGCAAACGGG
rnacentral:rRNA from 1 species